AUUGAACGCUGGCGGCAUGCCUUACACAUGCAAGUCGAACGGCAGCACGGGAGCAAUCCUGGUGGCGAGUGGCGAACGGGUGAGUAAUAUAUCGGAACGUGCCCAGUCGUGGGGGAUAACGUAGCGAAAGCUACGCUAAUACCGCAUACGAUCUAUGGAUGAAAGCGGGGGAUCGCAAGACCUCGCGCGAUUGGAGCGGCCGAUAUCAGAUUAGGUAGUUGGUGAGGUAAAGGCUCACCAAGCCGACGAUCUGUAGCUGGUCUGAGAGGACGACCAGCCACACUGGGACUGAGACACGGCCCAGACUCCUACGGGAGGCAGCAGUGGGGAAUUUUUGGACAAUGGGCGCAAGCCUGAUCCAGCAAUGCCGCGUGCAGGAUGAAGGCCUCGGUUGUAACGUAGACUUUGUACGGUAACGAAACGGUAGGAGACGUCUAAU
rnacentral:rRNA from 1 species